rnacentral:rRNA from 1 species
GCUUUGAGCCGGCACGGGUAUCGUGGCGGACCAUCUAUACUGACAGUUGCUCCUCCAAAGGUUGAACCUAACUGGACUUGGUCCACUGGGAAAGAUCGCAACGAGAAGGAAGUUCUAACCGAGUCUUUUGAAGAGCGGGAACGCACAAGGGCUGCAGUAACUGAAGGAGAGAAGCUUAUCGGUGUGAUGAACCCCCAACCAAGGCAGACCGAGAAAGAGAAGGAUGCUGCUUCAUUCUCACAGAAGGAGAAGCGGAAGAGAGACCGUGGGCAGGCCAGCAGGGGUAAGAACUACGUCGAGGAGGAGAAGCGGCUCCUGAGGGGGAGUGGUGUCUACUCUGGCUUCGAUACUUGA